rnacentral:rRNA from 1 species
AGAGUUUGAUCCUGGCUCAGGACGAACGCUGGCGGCGUGCCUAACACAUGCAAGUCGAACGGAACUGUUUUGAAAGAUUUCUUCGGAAUGAAUUUGAUUUAGUUUAGUGGCGGACGGGUGAGUAACGCGUGAGUAACCUGCCUUCAAGAGGGGGAUAACAUUCUGAAAAGAAUGCUAAUACCGCAUGACAUAUCGGAACCACAUGGUUCUGAUAUCAAAGAUUUUAUCGCUUGAAGAUGGACUCGCGUCCGAUUAGUUAGUUGGUGAGGUAACGGCUCACCAAGACCGCGAUCGGUAGCCGGACUGAGAGGUUGAACGGCCACAUUGGGACUGAGACACGGCCCAGACUCCUACGGGAGGCAGCAGUGGGGGAUAUUGCGCAAUGGGGGCAACCCUGACGCAGCAACGCCGCGUGAAGGAUGAAGGUUUUCGGAUUGUAAACUUCUUUUAUUAAGGACGAAACUUGACGGUACUUAAUGAAUAAGCUCCGGCUAACUACGUGCCAGCAGCCGCGGUAAUACGUAGGGAGCAAGCGUUGUCCGGAUUUACUGGGUGUAAAGGGUGCGUAGGCGGCUUUGCAAGUCAGAUGUGAAAUCUAUGGGCUCAACCCAUAAACUGCAUUUGAAACUGUAGAGCUUGAGUGAAGUAGAGGCAGGCGGAAUUCCCCGUGUAGCGGUGAAAUGCGUAGAGAUGGGGAGGAACACCAGUGGCGAAGGCGGCCUGCUGGGCUUUAACUGACGCUGAGGCACGAAAGCGUGGGUAGCAAACAGGAUUAGAUACCCUGGUAGUCCACGCUGUAAACGAU